rnacentral:rRNA from 1 species
CCCUUAGAUGUUCUGGGCCGCACGCGCGCUACACUGAUGCAUUCAACGAGCCUAUCCUUGACCGACAGGUCCGGGUAAUCUUUGAAUCUGCAUCGUGACGGGGAUAGAUUAUUGCAAUUAUUAAUCUUCAACGAGGAAUGCCUAGUAGGCGCAAGUCAUCAGCUCGCGUUGAUUACGUCCCUGCCCUUUGUACACACCGCCCGUCGCUACUACCGAUUGAACGGUUUAGUGAGGGCCUCGGAUUGGUCUCGGCCCGCUCUUUACCGGGCGGCGCCGUUGGUCGAGAAGACGCUCGAACUUGAUCGUUUAGAGGAAGUAAAAGUCGUAACA